UGCAAGUAGAACGCUGAAGAGAGGAGCUUGCUCUUCUUGGAUGAGUUGCGAACGGGUGAGUAACGCGUAGGUAACCUGCCUUGUAGCGGGGGAUAACUAUUGGAAACGAUAGCUAAUACCGCAUAACAAUGGAUGACACAUGUCAUUUAUUUGAAAGGGGCAAUUGCUCCACUACAAGAUGGACCUGCGUUGUAUUAGCUAGUAGGUGAGGUAAUGGCUCACCUAGGCGACGAUACAUAGCCGACCUGAGAGGGUGAUCGGCCACACUGGGACUGAGACACGGCCCAGACUCCUACGGGAGGCAGCAGUAGGGAAUCUUCGGCAAUGGGGGCAACCCUGACCGAGCAACGCCGCGUGAGUGAAGAAGGUUUUCGGAUCGUAAAGCUCUGUUGUAAGUCAAGAACGGGUGUGAGAGUGGAAAGUUCACACUGUGACGGUAGCUUACCAGAAAGGGACGGCUAACUACGUGCCAGCAGCCGCGGUAAAUACGUAGGUCCCGAGCGUUGUCCGGAUUUAUUGGGCGUAAAGCGAGCGCAGGCGGUUUGAUAAGUCUGAAGUUAAAGGCUGUGGCUCAACCAUAGUUCGCUUUGGAAACUGUCAAACUUGAGUGCAGAAGGGGAGAGUGGAAUUCCAUGUGUAGCGGUGAAAUGCGUAGAUAUAUGGAGGAACACCGGUGGCGAAAGCGGCUCUCUGGUCUGUAACUGACGCUGAGGCUCGAAAGCGUGGGGAGCGAACAGGAUUAGAUACCCUGGUAGUCCACGCCGUAAACGAUGAGUGCUAGGUGUUGGAUCCUUUCCGGGAUUCAGUGCCGCAGCUAACGCAUUAAGCACUCCGCCUGGGGAGUACGACCGCAAGGUUGAAACUCAAAGGAAUUGACGGGGGCCCGCACAAGCGGUGGAGCAUGUGGUUUAAUUCGAAGCAACGCGAAGAACCUUACCAGGUCUUGACAUCCCGAUGCUAUUUCUAGAGAUAGAAAGUUACUUCGGUACAUCGGUGACAGGUGGUGCAUGGUUGUCGUCAGCUCGUGUCGUGAGAUGUUGGGUUAAGUCCCGCAACGAGCGCAACCCCUAUUGUUAGUUGCCAUCAUUCAGUUGGGCACUCUAGCGAGACUGCCGGUAAUAAACCGGAGGAAGGUGGGGAUGACGUCAAAUCAUCAUGCCCCUUAUGACCUGGGCUACACACGUGCUACAAUGGUUGGUACAACGAGUUGCGAGUCGGUGACGGCGAGCUAAUCUCUUAAAGCCAAUCUCAGUUCGGAUUGUAGGCUGCAACUCGCCUACAUGAAGUCGGAAUCGCUAGUAAUCGCGGAUCAGCACGCCGCGGUGAAUACGUUCCCGGGCCUUGUACACACCGCCCGUCACACCACGAGAGUUUGUAACACCCGAAGUCGGUGAGGUAACCUUUUGGAGCCAGCCGCCUAAGGU
rnacentral:rRNA from 1 species